AUGCUCAUUUGGGCAGCAUUUGUACUAAAAAUUUUAAUGAUACAGAGAAGAUUAGCAUGACCCCUGUGCAAAGAUGACAUGCAAAUUCAUAACUCAUUCCACAUUUGU
ensembl:snRNA U6 U6 spliceosomal RNA